rfam:Marine metagenome 1096626383938, whole genome shotgun sequence.
CCGGCUGUACUUCCAGCCGUAGCCUACCGGCACAUGCGGGAUUGGUAACGAACCCGUGUGAAGCUGCCGGGACAACGCAACCUGUGAAUAAAUCCACAAGGCCGACCCGUGAAAACCAGACCUGUCCCGGUUUUGAUCC